GUCCCAGUUCGGAUCGGAGUCUGCAACCCGACUCCGUGAAGCUGGAUUCGCUAGUAAUCGCGCAUCAGCCAUGGCGCGGUGAAUACGUUCCCGGGCCUUGUACACACCGCCCGUCAAGCCAUGGAAGCCGGGAGUGCCUGAAGUAUGCAACCGCAAGGAGCGUCCUAAGGUAAAACCGGUGACUGGGGCUAAGUCGUAACAAGGUAUC
rnacentral:rRNA from 1 species